UGCCAGCCGCCGCGGUAAGACGGAGGUGGCAAACGUUGCUCGGAAUCACUGGGCUUAAAGGGCGUGUAGGCGGUCUGCUAAGUCGGGUGUGAAAUCCCUCGGCCUAACCGAGGAACUGCAUCCGAAACUGACAGACUAGAGUGCGGGAGGGGCAAGUGGAACUCCAGGUGUAGCGGUGAAAUGCGUAGAUAUCUGGAGGAACGCCGGUGGCGAAGGCGACUUGCUGGUCCGCAACUGACGCUGAGACGCGAAAGCUAGGGGAGCGAACGGGAUUAGAUA
rnacentral:rRNA from 1 species